GUGAUCCACCUGCCUCAGCCUCCCAAAGUGCUGGGAUGACAGAUGUGAGCCACCGCGCCCGGCCAGCUUAUUGUAACUUCUUUAUAAACUUUCAUGUUUUUCAACUUUUUGACUCUUUUGUCAAAUAAUACUUAGCUUAAAACACAUCAUACAACUGUAUAAAAUAUCCUCUUUAUAUAUUCUAAAGCUUUUUGCCUAUUCUUUAUAUUUAACAUUUUAAAAUUUUAAAACAUUUUUUGAUAAAAAGACAACAUACGUGUGAGCCUGGGCCCACACAGGGACAGUCAUCGACAUUCCUCUCUGCCACCUCUGCACCCCACAGAAAGGCUUCAGGCGCAGUAACCCGCGUGGAGCGCGUCUCCUGUGACCACAAGGUCACCCGCGUGGAGCC